CCUACCAAGGCGACGAUCGGUAACUGGUCUGAGAGGAUGAUCAGUCACACUGGAACUGAGACACGGUCCAGACUCCUACGGGAGGCAGCAGUGGGGAAUAUUGGACAAUGGGGGCAACCCUGAUCCAGCCAUGCCGCGUGUGUGAAGAAGGCCUUCGGGUUGUAAAGCACUUUAAGCGGGGAGGAAGGCCUGAUGGCUAAUAUCCAUCGGGAUUGACGUUACCCGCAGAAUAAGCACCGGCAAACUUCGUGCCAGCAGCCGCGGUAAUACGAAGGGUGCGAGCGUUAAUCGGAAUUACUGGGCGUAAAGCGCGCGUAGGUGGUUAAGUAAGCGAUCUGUGAAAGCCCCGGGCUUAACCUGGGAACUGCAGGUCGAACUGCUUGGCUAGAGUAUGGUAGAGGGGUGUGGAAUUUCCUGUGUAGCGGUGAAAUGCGUAGAUAUAGGAAGGAACAUCAGUGG
rnacentral:rRNA from 1 species